AGUUAGGUAGAGACCCCAUAUUGGAUGAGGUCUUUUUAAAAACUCACACUAAGAAGAAGGACAACUCUUGGGUUGAUGAAAGAGCAAAAAAAACAUAUGAAACAUUUCAAGGUAAGUUGCAACAAGCCUCUAAAGGUGGGGAAGCAUCUAGUAGUUGUAGCCAAGUGGUUAAUGCGGAAGCUCGCUUAGACAUGUGGGUCCAAUCUGUUGGGGGGAAGAAUAAAGGGAGGAUCUAUGGUGCUGGAGAUAGAUCCUCGCUUUAUAGACCAGAUAGCAGCAUUUGAGGAGCGAGCAAAAGCGGCAGAACAC